CCUAAAGUAGGUCAAUCUACUGGAAAACCCAGUAUUAACUUCAGGUUUGACAACAGGAAGAUUCAUCCGUGUAAUGAACAGUCUCCUUUUAAAUACUAUCGAAUUUAAAUGAAGAAAAAUAAGUCAAUCAAGUCUUCUGUUACUUUGGCACUUGGAUCUGGGGAAUGAUCAUCAUCACCACUAAAUAUGAAAGGAUUUUCAGCAAUACUUUGGAGAGUAUAAAACUUGCAAACAAGGUCAAUUAUAACGUCGUCCAGAAAUGUAGCAGAAUACACAGAAGACUGUGGUAGGGACAGUGCUUUUUCAUUAGCAGGAUUCAAGAAUUCAAUGACAUGGUCAUUUUCAGGUGGAUUUCUCAUUAAAAUCUGAAGUCAUUAAAUAGUUCCUUCCCAAGCAUGAAGUCUUGCUGUAUAGAGAAAGAGUGGAGAUAAUAGCCUCCUGAUGACAUCUUCUAAAAAUGAGUGUGAUAACAUGGUAAUGUAGCAUGUUGAAUGUUGAACUUGGUAAAUAAGUUAUUUCAGGUUAUUCUGAAGUUUCUGCAGUAUAUUUUCAGCUUUGAGAGAGUAAUAUGAAUUAGGCAUGAGCCUUUCUUCAAAACACAAUGGGAGUUGCUAGUCUCAAAUCUCUAUCAGUAUGCCAUUAGUUAUCUGCUCUGCUACUGGGGUGAUAGUGUGUGCCAGAUGAUUACCACAAGUCACUUGCAAUUUAUAUUCCCGUAAAGCAUCGUUAUAAACUGAGUCAACAAUCUUACGAGCACUUUUUUUUUUUUGAGAACAAGUCUUACUCUGUCACCCUGGCUAGAGUGCAGUGAGUGGCACGAUCUCAGCUCACUGCAACCUCCACCUCCCAAGUUCAAACGAUUCUCCUGCCUCAGCCUCCCGAGUAGCUGGGACUAUAGGCACACACCACCAUGCUCAGCCAAUUUUUGUAUUUUUAGUAGAGAUGGGGUUUCACCAUGUUGGCCAGGCUGUAGACUAGUUGGAAACAUAUCCUUUCUUCAACACCCUAUAAAACAGUGACUUGAGCAUUAUUAAACUCAUUUACCAUGGGGUAAACACCUAAUAUACUCACCUCAUUGAACUGGGCCUCAGUGAUAUUUAUAUUUUUUUUUGCCCAAAAUGAGGUAUAGAGAUUAAGAAAAAUGCCUACAAUUAUUUCCUCCAAAAAUGUGGCAGAGUAAACUCCUGGGUUCAUGCCUUCUAGAUGUUGCAUGCUAUGAAUGGCUGCUAUAUUUAUUGCUUUUCUCCUGGUCUUCAAAGAGGAGGUAGACAAGAGGGUUUUCUUGGAAGUUGCUUACCAAAUAGGCUUCUAUUUGGAACAGAUAGCUCAGAUACUAUCCAGUGCCCCCUUCAAAGGCUUGCUGUCAUAACUCAUGAAACUUAUAGAGCCUUUUCCUUAUCUUGAUUAUUUUAAUUCUGGCCUUUUUGCUUUUAGGAAAUUAGAAAGUCUCCUUCUUUUCCUAUAUGCAAAGAAUGCAAAGGAUGGACAUCUUAGAGGUUGCUGUACGUGGUGUGAUUGUUUUUCCAUUAAGGAUUUUACAAAACUAUGGGAAUAAAACUAAUCAUAUAUUCUUGAUCGAUUCCCUCCAGAUUUUCCAAAAGUUCUUGUAUUAGGUCAUUUUUGCAUUGCUGUAAAGAAAUACCUGAGGCUGAGUAAUUUACAAAUAAAAGAGCUUUAGUUGGCUCAUGGUUCGGCAGACAGUACAAGAAUGGUGUCAGCAUCUGCUUCUGGGGAGGGCCUCAGAAUGCUUACAAUCAUGAUGGAAGGCAAAGGGGGAAAAGGCACUUACACGGGGAGAGCAUGAACAAGAGAGAAGGGGAGGUGCCAUACACUUUUAACAGAUCUUGUGAGAACUCCUUCACUAACCUGAGGACAAUUCUAAGCUAUUCAUGAGUGAUCCUCCCCCAUGAUCUAAACACCUCCCACCAGGCCCCACCUCCAAAAUUGGUUCAUUGUUUUCCUGUAAUAACCAAAUCCUUCUUCCUCUGUAUUUUGAAGUACGUUGAACAGUUGACAUUCUGCUGACAUUUCAUCAGAAAGAGGGUUAUUUGUAAGAGAGUUGUUUGUUGCGCAUUCUCAUAAAAGCAUUCUAAUAAGUUUCUUGCACACAAAUUUCAGAUGAAAAACUGAUUUGGGGGAAAGCCCUAGAUUAUUUCUAGGUAUGCAAUGACUUUUCUGAUUACUUGGAGAUGGGAAUAUUUUCAUUGCUAUUUUACCAGAAUCCAUAUCCCAAUUUGGCCAUUCAUCUGGCAAAACCAAAUCUAAAACAAUAUUUACAUUUUUAUUGACUACUUUAGAUUCACAGUUUUUAGGCUACCAACCAGAGUGCCUAAAUUACAUGCUAGAGAAUUUAGUUUAUUUUUCUGCAUGAGUUUAUCAAUUUGGGCAGUAGGAGCUGAUUUCCAGUCUCUGGAGCCUGCUUGUCUUUUCAUAGUUUUGCUUUUGUUGCAAUUGGCCAAAUUAGGGCUUCUAGGCAAAGAAAAUGAUUUGUUUCUUCCAUUGCCAUAAGGCUGAUGAUUUAUUCCUAUUUCUUUGUACAGAACAUGGAUGACUCCUAUUAAGAGUUCCCGAAAGAGAUCAUCAAAGUCACAGUCACAGCCACUCUUGGGCAGUAAAUAUAUUUUGUUUUUACAGAAACCAUUUGUUGGGUAAUGUCUGCUUUUAAAAUGUCACUAUUAAACAGGAUUCAAAUAAUGAUUUCAGAAAUGCUUAAAGCAAGUUCUCUGAUAGAAAUUGACUGACUCUCCAACACUUUGUAAUAAACUAAAAUAACCUUGUUAAAAGCUGAAUCUUGACUUUCCAGUGCUUUUUGUUUUGACCCACUGUCUUCGGU
rnacentral:lncRNA from 10 species